GAUCUUGAGCUCUUUCCGCAUCCAUGGAAUCAGCGAAAGUUACAAAUCCAAAUCCCUGUGAAAAAUUGAACCAAAAGGAAUCAGUUUUUAUUACAAUUUGAUUGAUACGUGAUUAAGGAGAUGAUUUCAAAGGAAGGAAUGAUAAUUAUGAUGAUAAAACCUGAGAUUGAUUAAUUUUAAUACUAUUUAUUAAUGGAGAGAAAUUUGAUCAUUGUUUAUGGACCCAGUUCAAUUGAAUUACUUUGUAUAAGAAUAAUUGAAUUUCCUCUCUCUCUCUCACUCAAUUUUUCUUCCCACUCAACUAUCGUGUCUCUCAAAUCUAUCGCCCUGAUUACCCAUGUUGAUGAUAAUUGAAUAAUUGAUUUGCUACUUACCUUUGAUCCACGUUCGUUAAAGAUAAUCUCAACAUCAAUUAUCUGUCCAAAUUGCUAUAUUCUCUGUUUCCUGAUGAUCAUAAUGUUCCUCAUCAACCUUAUCAUCAUGUUGAUGUUUCUAUUCAUCGUAAAUAAAGUUACCAGCAGUUAACCAGAAGACAAGGAAAAGAAGGAGAAAAAAAAAAAUGUUGGAUCAAGAUGGAAAUUGACAAUAAACGGAGGAGAUGAAGAAAAACAAAUUUGUGUCUUCAUGAAAACAAUCAAAGAAAAGAGUAUGGAAAGUGAAACAAAGAGGAAAAAGAAGGAAAAUAUUAUGACAAAGUAAUACGAUGAAUUCUGGAAAUAGACGAAGACAGAUCACAAUAAUCGCUUGUCAAAGUUAUAUCUUCACGUUAAUAAUUUAAAAGCCAUCAACUCAACAUCACAGAGAUUCUUUCAGGUUUUCAAUCUCUCUUUCUCUCUCUUAUUAUUUUGGACUAAUGUUUACAUGGAUAAUUUAUCAUGAUUGUAACCCAAUUUGAAUGGAGAGAAUGUCAAUUAGAUUAUCAAAAGGACAUCGAGGGAAAGAUGAAGGAGAUCAACAAAGGUUGAAGAGAUAAACAAAAUACUUACACCAAAAAGUUGCCUUAAAUCAGGAUCACGAAAUCUAAAGGAAUCAUUUCGUUCGAAUCCACCUCCAUUCUCUCCCGGACAACCUCCUCUUCUCAUCAAAUCUUCAUCAACAUCAAGAUCAGUUUGCUAAAUCAUAAUCAAGAGUAAUUCCGCCAUUCCAAAGGUGUUUGAAUUAGUUUUUCCCCGGCCAAUGAUUGUUUAUUGUUUACCAGUAAAAGUCAAUGGAAAAAGCAAAGUAUAAGAAACAAAGUUAAAGGAAAUACCCAAAAUCAUCAAGAUCAAAUUAAAUGAUUCAAGAGAAUUGAAUGACAAGGAGGAUUCACAGGGUAUGAGGAAGCAGAUAGAAGGAGAAAAGUAAAGGAAAUUGUAAAAAAAUACACCGAGGAAAAAAAAGAAACUAGUUACAAUGGAGAGAUGGUGAUGAUAAUGGAAGAAGAUGGAAUAAGAUGAAAAAAGAAAGGAAAAAGAUAUAAACACAAAUAACAACGAGAAGGAGCAACAACAUGGAAAGAAAAUCUUGAGAUUCAUAAAUGAAAUUCACAUAAUAGUUGAACUACGGAUAAAUCAACAGUAAUUUAUUUCAUUGAAAGUUGGAAAUUUGAAGUUCAAUCGGUGGAGAUGCUGAGAAGAAAAUCUUAACAAUUUAUACUGAUUCAAGAGAGAGAGAUGAAAGAAAAACAAUCCUCAGGUAUUGAGAGAAAUUAUAUUUGGUGGUUUUCAUUUUCAUGAUGACUUUCGAUGUAUCAUAACUCAUUGGAAUUGGAACUUUCAACUAUUCGAGAGCGAAAUCCCAACAAAAAGGUCAACUUACCGUUUGU